AGGACGAACGCUGGCGGCGUGCUUAACACAUGCAAGUCGAGCGGUAAGGCCUCUUCGGGGGUACACGAGCGGCGAACGGGUGAGUAACACGUGGGUGACCUGCCCUCAGCUCUGGGAUAAGCCUGGGAAAACUGGGUCUAAUACUGGAUAUGACUGCGCAUCGCAUGGUGUGUGGUGGAAAGUUUUUUCGGCUGGGGAUGGGCCCGCGGCCUAUCAGCUUGUUGGUGGGGUGAUGGCCUACCAAGGCGACGACGGGUA
rnacentral:rRNA from 1 species